UGGGGAAUAUUGGACAAUGGGCGAAAGCCUGAUCCAGCCAUGCCGCGUGUGUGAAGAAGGUCUUCGGAUUGUAAAGCACUUUAAGUUGGGAGGAAGGGCAGUUACCUAAUACGUGAUUGUCUUGACGUUACCGACAGAAUAAGCACCGGCUAACUCUGUGCCAGCAGCCGCGGUAAUACAGAGGGUGCAAGCGUUAAUCGGAAUUACUGGGCGUAAAGCGCGCGUAGGUGGCUUGUUAAGUUGGAUGUGAAAUCCCCGGGCUCAACCUGGGAACUGCAUUCAAAACUGCCAAGCUAGAGUAUGGUAGAGGGUGGUGGAAUUUCCUGUGUAGCGGUGAAAUGCGUAGAUAUAGGAAGGAACACCAGUGGCGAAGGCGACCACCUGGACUGAUACUGACACUGAGGUGCGAAAGCGUGGGGAGCAAAACAGGAUUAGAUACCCUGGUAGUCCACGCCGUAAACGUGUCAACUAGCCGUUGGGAGCCUUGAGCUCUUAGUGGCGCAGCUAACGCAUUAAGUUGACCGCCUGGGGAGUACGGCCGCAAGGUU
rnacentral:rRNA from 1 species